CCCUUAGAUGUCCUGGGCCGCACGCGCGCUACACUGAGUGUCUGAGAUACGAGUCUGCCUGGUCCGGCAAGGUCUAGGUAAUCGCUAAAAGACACAUCAUGCUUGGGAUAGAUUAUUGCAAAUAUUAAUCUUGAACGAGGAAUUCCUAGUAAGCGCAAGUCAACAGCUUGCGUUGAUUACGUCCCUGCCCUUUGUACACACCGCCCGUCGCUACUACUGAUUGGAUGUUUAAGCGAGGUUCUCGAACUGCUAGCGACUUAGCUUCGGUGAGGUCGCAGUGUGGGCAGUGAACCUAGCUUUGGUGUCUAGAGGAAGUAAAAGUCGUAACA
rnacentral:rRNA from 1 species